rnacentral:rRNA from 1 species
GCUUACACAUGCAAGUCGAGCGGUAACAUUUCUAGCUUGCUAGAAGAUGACGAGCGGCGGACGGGUGAGUAACGCGUAGGAAUCUGCCUAGUAGUGGGGGACAACAUGUGGAAACGCAUGCUAAUACCGCAUACGCCCUACGGGGGAAAGGAGGGGAUCUUCGGACCUUUCGCUAUUAGAUGAGCCUGCGUGAGAUUAGCUAGUUGGUGGGGUAAAGGCCUACCAAGGCGACGAUCUCUAGCUGGUCUGAGAGGAUGAUCAGCCACACUGGGACUGAGACACGGCCCAGACUCCUACGGGAGGCAGCAGUGGGGAAUAUUGGACAAUGGGCGCAAGCCUGAUCCAGCCAUGCCGCGUGUGUGAAGAAGGCCUUAGGGUUGUAAAGCACUUUCAGGAGUGAGGAAGGGUGUACGGUUAAUACCCGUAUAUUUUGACGUUAACUCCAGAAGAAGCACCGGCUAACUCUGUGCCAGCAGCCGCGGUAAUACAGAGGGUGCGAGCGUUAAUCGGAAUUACUGGGCGUAAAGCGCGCGUANGCGGUUUGUUAAGUCGGAUGUGAAAUCC